AUACAAACUAAUAGAGCAGCUGAACAAAAACCUCCUGAACGCUUCACUAACUGAACAAACACACAUCAACUGAGUCUCCAACAAACACACACUCACAGCACACAUCACCUGCAUUUACUUCAUCUGUCUUAUUACUAAAACAUCAACCUCAAUUAUUGAAAGAAAUUCACUUUUAUAUCAAGUGUGACGUGACUCACAAUCAAACUCAGUUGAUUCAGUGAUUGACAGAGACACGUGUGAUGAUCCUCAUGUCUGUAAAAACCUGCACAACAUCCACGGAUUUGACAUCACAAGAGUAAGGUUAAUGUACGAAAGUUGGUCUUGAAGAUGUUUUCAGAAUUAAAGUGAAUGAUACAGUUUUUUAUAGUUUGGCUAAUAGAAGACGUUCAGUAAUUGUUUUUUAUUUCAGGCCUUUGACUGAGACUGAGCGACUGUCUCCAGGUAAAUGAUGUGAGUGUGUUUGCAUAUUGAUCAGAUGCUUCAGUGCUCUGAGAGUGUUUAUAGUGCUGUGAGUUUAACACUUCAUCACUGACACACACAACAAUCUUCAUCAACAUGACCUUCAUCAUCAUCUUCAUCUGGACUCUCACAGCGUUUGCUCAAGAGUGUAGAGGACAGAUCAGCGUCACUCAGAGUCCCUCAACGACAGCAGCUCAACCAGGAGAAACAGUGAAGAUCAACUGUAGAACCAGCAGAGAUGUGUUUAGUGGUAAUUAUUUAUCCUGGUACUUACAGAAACCUGGAGAAGCUCCUAAACUCCUGAUAUAUCGAACAUCAUACGUUUACACUGGAACUCCAUCUAGAUUCAGUGGCAGUGGAUCUAACAGUGAUUUCACUCUGACCAUCAGUGGAGUCCAGACUGAAGAUGCUGGACAUUAUUACUGUCAGAGUUUACACUGCAGAACACAUUCUCUUGGUUAUUGUGUGGGUGAUUAUGUGUUCACACAGUGA